AACAAUUGCCCCCAAAAUAUAAGGAGUUUAUUGUAAAUUAACGAGUUAUAUUUUGCUUUGAUCUUAUCUGCGACGGGCAACUCGGAUAACUAGCCGUUAUAACCGGACUAGUCGUUGCAACCUUUACGUCACUGAAGUGACAUCCCUGCAAAUCAUGAUUAUAAAUAGGAGAUAGGGUCAGGAUCAAUCUGCAUUUAAAUUCAAGAUAUACUCCCUUUAUAAUCUCUACCGAAGAUCGACCAGGUAUUCUCUUCUCUUCUCUUGCUCUGUUUUUCUGCUCCCCUGUUUUUAUUCUGCCAUGAGUAUUCUCUUCUUUUCUUUCUUCCUUCUCUUGCUCUGUUUUUCUGCUCCUCUGUUUUCAUUCUGCUGUAAGUAUGUUGCUCCGAAAUUCUCCUCACAAGGAUCACAAGAAGAGCAGUCCCCUAAAAAGCCAAGGGAUCAUUAAAGACUCUCCUACGGAGAGAUGCUGCUUCACCGACGCUCAUGUUGAUAGGAUCCGUCAUUGUUUUCGGGCGGAUGCUAUCUUCAAGUCAUUCACUUCCACCGCUUUAAGCGAUUUUGUUUCCGACACUUGGGUGGCCUUUCCUGCAACUCCGUUUGCCAUAGGAUAUUCAUAUCCUUUUCCAGCCUUCACCCAAUCCUUCUU
rnacentral:lncRNA from 1 species